GCAUCAUCCCUCACAGAACGGGGGAGGAGCAGGAGGGGACGACAGGGAGGAGACUUGCCUCCCAGGGAAAAGACAGCACAACAGCUACUUGGAACAGUCCGGGUGCAGAGCCGGCUUCUGCCUCCCUGAUCACAGUGAUGGUCCACAGUGGGCAUCCGACCCAAUGAGAGGCAGAACAACCCAUCCUUAUGACUACAGAGACCAAUCCAGGCAUGGACACAACUCAAGCCAAGUUAACCGGGGAGCCCUUCUUUGAGGUUUUCCUAAUUGGAUACAGUGAAGGAAAAACAACUUCCUGAUUUCAUGAUGUCAGAGGACAUGACAACAGCCCCUUCCUCAGAUGUGCCAUAUAUAUGGAUUUCCAGACCUGGCCACGCUGAAAGGCAAAAUGACAACUGCAUGCGAAUCUCAGGAGGAGACCACAAGCAGCUAUAUGAAAAAUGGGAGGCAGGAGAACCAGAGAGCAAAGUGCCAUAGUAGUCUAGGAGAAAGAUGAAGACGCGGGGGCCUUCUGGGAGAAGCUUGUUUCCCUGAGAGGAGCAGAAGGUCUAAGAACCUUAUCAUCUCAAGCAGCCUGAAAAAACUCAAUUUAGAAAUAUGCCUGGCCAACUCUGUCCCACUCCCAACCCUGCUAGGAACAGACACCAUAACCUUUGAACUCAAGGCAAGUGAUAUCUGGAAUGCCUCCCUUCCUCCCCUUCUCUCAAGUACACCAAAUCAGAGACUAGAGGACUCGGUGUAAGCAGAACAAAGGUAAACGAAGUCUUCAAUUUAUACCCCAGACUGCUUAAUCACAUCAGUAAGUACCAACAGUUUGCCCUGAGUACCCAAUUUGAAAGAAAAAAAAAGAUCAAAGCCAGCAACGUCAGAUGGGGAACAAUCUACCACUUUCCUUACGCGUACACAAGGAUAAAAGUAAUACUACUAUCUCAUAGGGCUUUUUAUGAAUUAAUACACGUAACACGCUUAGCACAGUACCUGGCACAUAAUUACGUGCUGAACAAACGAGUGUUGGCUAUCAGCAGCAUCAUUAGUAAUAUACCAAGGGGUGAGAGGCCAUCACAGGGAUCCUUGAAGAAAAGAAUCUAUUUGCUCAUUAAAGGAGAAAAGUGUACUAAAGGCCUAGGCCAACUAUUCCUUUGAAGACUCCAGGCCCUUCCAUGCCUAAUCUUCCUAAUCAUUCGAUUCAAAAAGCUUAAUUAAAAGACUAAAGACAUGAUACAAACUGAACUCCCUACAACCUGAAGCUACUAUAGAAUAUAGUGAUCCUUUUAAACUCUCUAAGUUAAAUGAAUUCAUAGUUUGUCAUCUUCAAAACAGAAACCUUCUAUCCACCCCUAUACUUACAAAUCCAUUACUCUGUAUAUUCUAUCUUUGAUCAAUUUAAAGGUCUGAGACCAUACCCACGUUUUACCAUAGGGAAAAAUAGUUUUUCUUCCUUGGUUAUGCCAUUAUUUCCUGAUAGCUUUACUGUUAUUUUUGGCAUAUUUUGCCAUAAAGUGAGAUCAUUUGCAGCUUUUUUUUUUUUUGCUGGGAAACAGUUGCCCUGAGCUAACAUCUGUUGCCAAUCUUCUUUUUCUUUCUCCCCAAAGCCCCGGAACAUAGUUGUAUAUUCUAGUUAUAAGUCCUUCUAGAUUUUCUAUGGGAGCCACCACCACAGCAUGGCUACUGACAGACAAGUGGUACAGUUUCACAACCAGGAAUGGAACCUGGGCUGCUGAAGCAGUAAGAGCACCAAACUUUAACCACUAGGCCAUCAGGGCUGGCUCUGCAGCAUUUUUUCUUUUUUUCUUUUUUGAAAUUUACUUGGUCUUUUACUAUGCACAGAAAAGUAGGCUUUAUGAUAGAUCAGACUUCUAAGAGAACACAAACUUUAACACAAGAAUCAUGGAUCAACAGGAGGAAUUACUUGGAAAUUCUAGAAAAGAAAAACCAUAAUUCUUCCUGUUACUAGCUAAAAAAUGGCUCAGGAUAAAACUAGUUAUACUAGGGGCCAGCCCAGUGGCGCAAUGGUUAAGUGCGCACGUUCCGGUUCUCGGCAGCCCAGGGUUUGCCAGUUCG